ACUUGUCAAUUUUGAUGCCUUUUAGUGCUUGUGCCAUUUUUUGUUUCACCUUUUCCAUAUCUGCAAAACAUUUCCCUUUGAGGACUUUUUUCAUCCAGGGAAACAAAACAAUGUCUCUCAGGGCAAGACUGGGUAAACAGAAAGGUUGGGGGGUGGGGGUCAUGCCGUUUUUGGUCAGCGACUGCUGAACACCCUGCUCAGUAUGGGCAGGUGCGCUCAUAAAACACUCAUCAUGAAAUGGGGAGUGUUAUGAAAGAGUCUUCCAAAAAAAUGUACUGAAGCCAAAUGUAGCCUCUCACAACAAUGCCAGCUGGUACACUGAUACAGAUGGGUUCCUAGAACGCUCACCUAGUACAGGGGGAAGCCUGUAAUACAAGGGGCCCACCUUCCAGAAGAUAAUUCUGGGGAUUUUUCUGGGUCCCCACUCCUAUUUGUGUAUGUGCGCGUGUAAGUACAUAUGCAUGUGUGCAUGUAUACACAUGUAAACAUUUCUUGCAACUCAUGGAUGGAUGGAUACAAAGAUAUUCUUUAUCUAAAGAUAAUAUUUCAUAGUUAUAUAGAACUUUAUAAAGUAUUUUCAUGGACUCUAUCUUUUUUACUCUUUACAACUAUCCUAUAAAGUAGGAAGCUAAUGUUAUCCCUAUUUUCUAGAGAAAGAAACUAAGUUUCAACCAGUUGCCUCAUGGUUACAUGGACAGAGAUUGAAGCAAGAAACUGAGAUGGUGACAAUUUUAGUGCCCCCAAAGUUGCUGAACCUCUCCAGUCAGAAUGUACUACUGCUCUUUCUCUGCCUUGAUAAUGCUGCCUGGCUGCAGUUGUGACAUCAGGAGACAUUAACUGGCUGCACACUCAGAUUUUGUGCUUUUCUUUUUCAUCUGCCUGCAGUGGUGAAGCAUUUGGUACAAGUGAUAAAUCCAUGCUGGCAGGACCACGUUGUUUCUUGGCACCAGGGAGACUCUGGGCUCCAGGAGACACAGGCGGCUCUGGAGGCUGAAGGAGUUCAUUGUGCAGACAGGCUUCCCUCGGGAAAGUCAGCCGAGUGGAGUGAUGCUAAUGAUGUUGGGGUCGGGGCUGCCCAGGCUCUGCAGCUUUGAAGGGACACUUUCAGCCUCAAUCACACGUCUCACUUGCCACCACUUUUCUUGGCUCCUAAGCUAUCCUUAGAGUACAACAGCUACCACCCAAUACUUUCCUCACAACAGAAAGACUGUGAAGUAGUAAAUCUGAGUCAUACUCAUGACCUUGUUCAAAAUUGUCAAAGAGUUACCAGGAUAACCAUAAAAUCAAGACAUUUUAUGUUUAAGUACUGCUAUUGAAUGUCUGUCCUCCAAAGCUUCCCUCUGAACUAGUGUGUUGUUGGUUCACACAGAUGAGCUGGGUUUGAAUCCUCACUGCACCACUAAUCGGAUCACUUAUGUGACCUUGAGCCAGUACUUAACCUCUCUGUGCCUUAGUUUCCUUACCUGUAAAAUAGGGUUGUUUUAUAAGGAUUGAGUUAAUAUAUAUUUUAUAAAGUGUUCAGAACAGUGCCGGGCCCUUUAUAAGUUAGGUAUACAUGUUAACUUUCAUUAUUAUGCAGAAAUUUGAUGAAAGUGAAGAGUAAGAGCCCAGGAAAUUUGUUUACCAAGAAGCUUUAAUAUGAGUAACAGGGUAACUUUAUUUAAACUAAGUUCCUUUAUCUGUCUUUUUUUUCCCCACUCCAAGAAUUACAGCUGCAUGAACAAGAGGAAGGACGUAAUCUCUGGAAAUCUCAGGGUCCUCAUCUGUAAAAUGAGAGUACCAGAACCUUCUUUUGUGAGGAUGAAAUCAUCUGUAUAAUGUGUUUGGCACAUAGCUAUCCAAUGAAGGUCCUUUCUUUCCCACACCUGGGUCCACUUUCAGUUUAAGUGCAAAUGAAGCAUCCCUACUAUAUCUUCAGGACUCAGGGAAGCUGUGAGAAAAGCUCUAGGCCACUCCACCCUCCACCCAGUAACACCCUGCCUCGGGUGGAGGGAGAAGACAGAAGACAGAAGGGAAGGAGGCGGGGGGGGACGUUGCUGUCCUAUCUUGGAAGGAAGCUGUGAUGAUCUGAGUGGUUGGCUCUCUGCCUGGAUCCUUCUCAUUCAGGUGACAGAGCUCACUUAUUGAAGGCUCUCUGCCCCUUACCCAGAGAUGGAGAAGCGUCAGUACUUGCCUCUGGCUACAGCUACACUUAGGUGGAAGGUCCCCUGUAGCCCCCAGGGAGAUGCUGCCUGCUGGCCAGAUCCAGGCACUCGCUGCUCUCUCCGCCUCUCUCUGUGCUCUCUUCCUGACAGGCUGCCUUUUGGACCUUUGCCAAGCCCUGCCCCUCCUGGAUUCACAUUCUAGGUUUGAAAGAAUUUCUCUCCCCUUACCACCCUUUCCACUCCCUUCCUUCCACUAGUGUGGAAGGGAGUGUGUCUGUAUCUUCUGCCAGAUGUUGUACUGGACACUAAGGCCCUGCACAGCUUUAACCUUGGGCUGAUUUCCUGGUCUCAUUCCUGACAGUUCCACAGCUCGUUCUCUGGCCAUGUUCUUAGACCAUGGGAAUUUUCCAAAGCCAGCAUGCUUAUUCUUACUCAUGGUCCUUCGACAGGCUCAUUCUCACCCUCAUUAUGAAAGGGAUGACCCAGUUCUUCUGAGGGGGGUGUUUUAUUCUCAGUGGAUUCAGAUGUUUAUCUCCACAGAGAAUGGCCUACACAGCACAGCCAAGGCAUCUCGUCCUCUAACAUCUUUGCAGGUGCCCCGCUUCUUUGCUUUAAAAAAAAUUGGAACGAGUUAUGGACUAAAGUUUUUGCCCCCCACCCCAAACUCACAUGUUAAAAUCCUAACCUUCAAUGUGACGACGGUAUUAGAAGGUCAGGCUCUUGAGAGGUGACUAGAUUGUGAGGGUCGAGCCCUCAUGAAUGGGAUCAAUGUCCCCUUCUACAAUGUGAGGACACAUCAGAAAGACAGAUGUCUAUGGAUCAGAUACCAAAUCUGCCAGAGCCUUGAUGUUGGACUUCCCAGUCUCUAGAACUAUGAGGAAGAAAUGUUUGCUAUUUCAGUCACCAAGCCUAUGGUAUUUUUAUUAAGCAACCUGAACGGACUAUGGCAGGGUGAUUGACCUGAAGGAAGAAUUUUGUUUUUCCUUUGAAAUAUCACACUCCACCCUUCUAUUUCAUCCCUCCUGACAUCACUUUGAUCCAAGGCCUUGGCAUCUCAUAUCUUCAUCACUCCAGCAGCCUCCUGGCUGAGCUUCUUGAGACCAGUAAAAUCUUGACAACAUAAUCAGAACCAUCUGAUAUCGCCCACACAAGGGCUGCUUGCACUGCACUGCCCACGGCGCCAUUGCCAACUUAUUGCCUCUCAGCUCCUAAUUUAUACUUCAUUGCCUGAUUUGUGAAAAUAGAUCUGGGACUUUUAAUUUUUUUCCUUUUCCAGCUGACAUGAAGUUAAGCUUUGCCAGUACAGAGUGCUGGGGAGACACGGCAGGGAGAAGGGUUCUUCUUCCUGGUUCCAGUGGACAGUUCCGAAAGCACCAAGAGUGUGCUGCAUUUUUCUCUACUCCUCGGACCUCCAGGUUUCCUCCAGUGCUAAGUGCUAGUAGAUGUGGCUUUCCCAAGGUUUCUCGGUUCUCAGUUUCAGGAGCAGUGGCCUUGUAAGGAGUCCCAGACAGUGAUGUACACUAUCUUGGAGUUCUAUUCUGCAUACCCUUUCCUCAACCCUGUGGGACUGCACAUAUAGGAAAUUACCCACCUUGGGUAUGAGGUGCCCAGAAGUACAUUAGGUUCUUACAGAGGGAGGCAUCUCCAGGUCCCAGUUUUAACGGCAUACACAGUGGCACCCGGUACCCUCUAUGCACCCAACUCCCUCUGUGUGCCCAGCCUUGGUUCACCUAUAUUGUGGACAUUCGUUUUUUUUUUUUUUUUUUUUUUUUUUUUGUGGCUGUCCCAAAGCAGACACUACGCUCUCUAGACCUCCCACCUACAGCUGUACCCUGUCACCCCCAGUACUCCUGAUUCCCUGCACACCUGUCCAGCAGUUGUGGACCAUCUGAGUUCCAGCAAGUUGUUUUUGCUAGCCUAGAGACUGUGGACCAGCUCUGGCCCAGGCAACCCAGCAAAAUCCCCCAUCAUUCAGUGGCUGCGGCCAACCUCCCUAAAGAGACCUGAACCUUUACUUUUGAAUUAGUGCUUCUUUGGUUGCUUCUCUCUUUGCUUUGUAUCUUUUAGAAGGUAUCUUCUUUUUUUCUAUCUUUAUAAUUACUUUCCUAUAAUUACUUCUGGUUAAUAGUUCUUUAUAUUAAAUUUCCUCUGUUCAAAUGACUGUGUGCGAUGGUUAGUUUUAUGUAUCAAUUUGACUAAGCUAUGGUGCCUAGAUAUUUGGUCAAACACCAUUCUAGAUGUUGCUGUGAAGGUAUUUUUCAGAUGUGAUUAACCUUGAAAUCAAUUGCACUUGAAUAAAGGAGAUUACUCUCCAUAAUGUGGGUGGGCCUCCUUCAAUCGGCUGAAGGCCUUAGGAGAAAUGGACAGAGGUCUCGCAGAGGAAGACGGAAUUCUGCCUCCAGACUGCCUUUAGACUCCCCCUUCAACAGCGACUUUCCUGGGUCUCCAGACUGCUGGACUGUCCCAUAGAAUUCAGACUUGCCAGCCUUCGGAAUUGUGUGAACCAGGUUCUUAAAAUCAAUGUCCUCCCCCUACACACACGUAUCCUACUGGCCCUGUUUUCUGUGGAGAACCCUUACUAAUAUACCACGUGGUUUCAAACUCCUGAGUGGGCCCAGAUUGCUAGACUUGUGAACACAUCAAAAAUAUUCAAUCGAGGCUCUCCUGCUGAUUCCUCAUCCCUUCCAUAACCUGGCCCCACCAUACCUACCCAAUUAUAUUAACAGUCCUUGGUGUCCCAGGAAUUCCUCACUCACUUUUUCUCUUCCUGUGCUCGUUUCAAGUCAUCAUUUGUGUCCUUCCAUUUUUUCUCUUUCUAGUUAUAUUCUAGCCAUCCUCCAAGGUCCAGUUCAAAUUCCUCUUUCUCCAUGAAGUAUUUUUUUUCCUCUUACAGCCAUCACUAUUCUCUCUCUUCCUAUGAAGCAUGCCUGCGCCAUAUGAUUGAGUGCCGAACGAGAUAGUGCCUCAUGUGUUUUUUUUUUUGCUAAUAGCUAUUGAGAUUGAGUUUUUAUUAUGUACUGUGCUGUGUACUUCUAAUCAUCUCAAGUGGGAGAUACUCCAUCAAACACUCUCUGUAUGGACUAUGGGCUCCCCCAAGAGUCACCAUAUAAUCAAAAAUUGUCUUCUUUUUCUGAGGAACCAAAUGGCAUAGCAAACUGGGACUAUGGCCUGUCAUCCUUAAGUAAGACAUCAUAAAAUCAGGACAUACCCUUUUCAGAAGAUAAAUGACAGGGACAUAGAUGAGGGAGAGGGCAUAUAAUAUGUGCCAUAUUCCUGUGAGAAAUCUCUCUGAGCAUCUGAAAAUUAUAACUGCCUGCUGGUUUACUAUUUCUAGUAAGUAAUAAAGAGAAACCUUUCUACUGAACCUGCCUCCAGGGAGAUGACCCAUCCUCUGAUCCACAGUGAAACCUCAGGGAGGGAAUGAAAAGGCUCAGGAAACAUUCCCCUCUUUUAGUAGUUGCUGUGUCAUGUCCAUAGAGUUUACUGGGAGUUUUUAGCAAAACCCCUUCUGUCUAACCUCAAAAGAAUGGGAUGACUCAGACCUUUGGAAAAAAGGAAAAGAAAUUCAUCAGCACAGUGCUGCAUACAGUGUAGGUGAUUUCUGGAUGCCAUGUAGCCUUGUCUUGAGUGAAGCUGAAAAUGGCAGCAGUUUUGUCCUGACUCUUCAUGUCCACAAAGGUUUGUCUUAAUAUUCUUUGUUGAUUUGGGCAAGGUUAUAAAAGGAUCUCAUGGUGAGGGUUACAUUAUCUGCAUUCUCCACACGGGGAAGGGGGGUCAUAUGAGGUUAAGUAAUUUGGCCAAGGAAAUGCAGCUAGUGGGCGGUAAAGCCAGGAUGUGCACCAAAGCUUGCCUGACCGUGACACAAGGCUAUCUCUGUGGAGUAAGAUUUAUUUCAUAAAGGCUAGACAUACUAAUGUCAUGCUUAUAUUCUCCUUGGGGGGUCAGGGCUGUUUUUAUCCCUAACUUUUAGUUCAGGAUUUGGCUUAGAAAACCUCAUCAAAUUGCCCAGGCCCAUCCAGGUAGUGAGUUAGCAGGGUCAAGGCCUGGAUGCCAGUCUGUGAGAUCUAGAGACAGUGCUCUUGUGUAUUUGUAGAUAGACUAUUUCGUGUGGGUAUUACUGACCAAGGUAGAUUUAAGUUCCAUCUGAGCAGACAUUGUGGUUUUUCCCCCCCAGAUAGUGGCUAAGACAGUGCUGGGUCCAAAGCACUCAAGUCAUGAACAAUGAUCACGGUGGACAACUGCAAAGGAGCCCAGAGUCCUGAAUUCCAGCACCAGCUUCUUUUGGAAUAAGUCACUAGUGGGUUUUUUUUUUAAAUUUCUUCACAGCUAUGACCUGACCUCUCUAGAGACAAGUCUCCUUAGGUCCAUGUUCAGAAAAAUUUCCCUUUUCCUGGAAUUGUGUGAAGGCUACUUGUCUGGUGACUUGGGCCUUUUUUCUGAUCCUCAAGUCCAUACCAAGAUAUAAGACUGGUUCUAGAGGACAUGCUAUUCAGGAUAGAUGACAGUGAUAAUGAUGGCCAUGCCUGAUUUUAGAUUGCAUAAAGGUGGUGCUGGGUACACUGAACUCUGGUGCUCUGGCCGUGCUCUGCUCCUUAGGGGGCCCCUUACUCACUAGCUGUCACAGGGGGUGGAAAAAUGCUUGUGAGCUACUUGCCUAGAUUCAGACAGUGACCAAGCAGAAUGCUUCCACCACUAUUUGCCUUUAGUUCAGAGAUCUCACUGAUCUCUGAGUUCUUCCCCCAUGCUGAGGACAAAGAAAAAUAACAUAAUGGAAGAAGUAUUCUAAUCACUGAUUAGACAAAAGCUUUGGGAUGGUGUGUAGGUUUAAUUUGUUACUGUGUUCCAUUUUUGCACAGAAGCAGAAGAAUUGGAUCGGUAUUAAUUUUACCUUCAGUAGAAAAAUACUUCAAAUCUCAGCGCUAAAUGGUAUUUUCCUAUGAAAUGUUUUAACUCUAUGAACUCUACUUUUAUUCUACUCAUACAGAUGUAAAAAAUGCCCCAGCUCUACAGUCUAGAGAUAUUCUCUUUCAGGAUUGGAAACUGUGAUUUAUUGGAAAUAUUAUUGAAUAUAACAGCAAGAAUGACUGCCUUUAAUUUUCUGCCUAUUUAGUUCUAAGGAUUGUGUUGGGUGCUUUACAUGUGUUAGUUUAUUUAAUUUACAGAAUAUCCCUUUAGGAUCUGUGUAGGUCCUUUUAUGACAAUUUGAAUUAUGCAAAUUUGGAGUAGUAUUGUGCAAACAUCAGGCACAAAAUCAGAAAACCUCUCAAAUUAAAUUAAAAAAUCAAACAAGUAUUUCAAAACAUAUGGGCCAAGAGAACUCUGUUUCUAUUGCCACAAGGCAGUAUUUCUUUAGCCAGUAACCAGAAGCACCUGCCAUUUUCUGCCAAGAUUAGUCUUGGAUUCCAUCAGUUCUUGAGAAAAUAUUCUUUGUAUAAAAUGCAACUGUCGUUUAUUGUAGUCCCAGAAGGCACAGGGCAGUGUGGGGCAUUCUUUGCACCUGGUGAGCAAUCAGUAAAUGAUCAUUUAGUCACAGGGGUGUUCAGCCUGCAGCCCAAGUCCACAUAGGGCCCAGGAUGGCUGUGCAUGCAGCCCAGCACAGAAUCAUAAAUUAACUUAAAACAUUAUGAGAUGUUUUUGUGAUUAUGUCUCAUAAUAUAUUUAAUGUGUGGCCCAAGCCAAAUCUUCUUCCAGUGUGGCCUAGAGACGCCAAAAUGUUGGAGACCCCUGACAGUGGAUCUGAACAGGCUACAGGGGAGUGUGGUCACAAACAAGCUCACUAGUCCUUCACCUUUGCAAACAUGAGCCUGACCACCAUCCUUUCAGCCCUUGCUAGCUCAUGGACAAGUUUGCAUUUCCAGCUAAGGCUGCAAAAUAACUUGAGAGGUCCAGCCAAGUACCACUAAGUAGCUUUAAUUCCAUCCUCUCAAUAUGGCUCUUCAGUUCCUUCCUUGUUUUUCUCUCUCUCUUUCUCUCCUUACUGACUUCAGCAAAAUAGCACAUGUGUAAGGGUUUUUCAUGUAUAAACUUUUAUUUUUGAAUAAUUAUAGAUUCACAGGAAGUUGAAAGAGUAAUACAGACAGGUCCUAUGUACCCUGCACUCAGUUCCUCCAGAGGUAACAACUCAUAGAAGCAGAGCAGCAUGUGUGUUUUUGACGAGCAGUAGCUCGCUCGUUUUAACUUCUAAGGGAAAAAUGCAUGUUGAGGAGCAGACAACUUCUCAUCAGGCCUCACACUAGGGCAGGCUUCAUGUGUGCCACCGGACCACUGCACAAAGCUCCAUCAACAGAAGGAUGCAAUCAGCAUCUUGAAAGUUUUAAUGAUUUUGCCUAGAAUUAUGUUUUGUAUGAGAAUUAGGUGGAACAAUGGAGCAUGUGCCAGAGGCUGGGAGCCUUGUCUCAUGUGUGGGUCCACUUCUCUGUUUCUGUAGGACACAGUGUGGGUCUCUGGCUCCCUGGCUCCCACCCAGUGACCACUGUUCCCUUCCCUUGCUGCAGGGGGCUGGGUGUGGGUACCAGAGUGUUCGGUGGGGAGGAAGGCAUUUGGUGCCUGGGAUGGUCUGCACUUGCCCCACGAGUAUCCUGAGGGACAUAUUUGGUAUUAAAUCACAGAUACAGAAUGCUGUGACAAGCCAUGAGAGAGAUGGCAGAAGAAAGAAAAAAGCUUUUAAACUGCAUUUUGAACAGAGGACCAUUUUCAUUUGGUGCUGAGCCCUACAAAUUAUAUUGCCAGCACUACUUAAAACUAUUUUAUAGCCCAAUCUCUUACAAGAAACCUAGGCAUGAACAUGAAUAUUUAUCAGGAAAUAGGAAACUUUGACAGAAACACAGAGGAAUAUCUGUUUGUGAAAGGCAAAAUUAGUUCCCACUAAGGCCAGAGAAAUCUUCCUAAAGCACAUUCUUACCAAGCCAGAGACUGCUCUCCAACACACUGUUCACUGCUCACAGAAUACAUUCCACAGCCACAGCAGGGCCCUGGGGUCUCAGUCAAUAACAUCCCCUCAUCCUGUCUCCCGAAUUUCAGGCUCCACCAGACCUUAAUUCAGACUCAAGCUUGCUGCCAACUAAGUACACUACAUGCUCUCCUAGUUCUGUGCCUUUGCUUACACUAUUGUAUUUGUAAAAUGCCAAUUUAAUCACUCUUUGAAGCUGAACUAUCACAUCUCUCCUAAAGCUCCCAGCCUGUGCCCACCUCAUGGCCUUGACAUGUUUCCUCUGUUCAUAUCGUUCUUUUCUAGGUCUCUACAGCUAGAACCAUCUCAUCGUUCAGAAGGAAGGUCCCCUUCCAGAGAGCUCUACCUGAAUACCUGCACUAAGUUAAACUCCAUCCCAUCUUAUCCAAUUCCUCUUCUAUUAAUUGUGUUGAUCAUUUUAUAAAUUGACUUUCCAUAUUUAAUUAUUUUUUUACUGGUUUAAUGAUCAUCUCUCCCCAUGAGAGUAGGACCCUUUUUUGCCUUAUUUAUUUAUACAUAUACAUGCCUUAAACUAUGCCUUGUGUUAUAUGUGUUGAGUAAAGAAAGGGCCCUUUCUCUCUUCAAACACUGAAGUAUGCUGUAUGUCAUAUAUUGGUUACAUGUUUUCUUUCUUCUAGGCUACUGGCUCCUAGAAGGUGGGGAAAGAUUCAUUCUUAUCAUUCACAAUGCCUCAGAGAGACCUUGGCUCCCAUAAGUCUUCAUUGAAUUCAGUUAUAAAAAUAAAUGGUGCAGAGGCAGAGCAUUUCCCUUCUCUUUCAGAACAAUUGGACACAGCAUUAAGGCAGAGAGAUCAAAACUAAUUGCCAGAACGAGAAGCACAUGCCAUUUUAGGCAUCCACUGCGUCUGUAUCAAGGACGGGCUUGGAAAAGGGUGUAAUCAACUAAGAGCACACAGUAUCCAGUGUGACCUCUGUGCUCAUCACAAGGCCAUUCUCUUCAGGUGGUUGGUUGCCUUUGUGGCCUGUGGGAUGAAAAGUUUCUCAAAAUAGAGACCAGGGAUGAGGUCUAGUUCUGAUGGGAGGGAUCAGAGCUGGCGGGCACCUUCUUUAUGAGCAUUGGGCACCUGUGUUAUUCUUUUAGCAAAGCACUUUGAUUUUCAUUAGCAAUAAAAAUGGAGAUACCCACAAAUCAUUCUGGGAAUCUAGGGGAUGUGAACAAGGUAAAGUGGAUUAUUAAUCUAAAGGGUGACAGGUAUGGGGCAGAAAUGGGACCAUUAAGUCAAAAUAGUGUACUUAAAAAA